UACGUAGGGUGCGAGCGUUAAUCGGAAUUACUGGGCGUAAAGCGUGCGCAGGCGGUUCGUUAUGUCCGAUGUGAAAGCCCCGAGCUCAACUUGGGAAUGGCAUCGGAAACUGGCGGGCUGGAGUGUGGCAGAGGGGGGGUGGAAUUCCACGUGUAGCAGUGAAAUGCGUAGAGAUGUGGAGGAACACCGAUGGCGAAGGCAGCCCCCUGGGCCAACACUGACGCUCAGGCACGAAAGCGUGGGGAGCAAACAGG
rnacentral:rRNA from 1 species